AUUUGAAAGCAGCUAAGAGCUCAUCAACAGAUGAGUGGAUAAAAAAGCUGUGGUGCAUUUACAUAAAGGAAUACUACUCGGCCGUAAAAAAGAAGCAAGUCUUACCUUUCAAGACAGCAUGGCUAGACCUAGAGAGUGUUAUUGCUAAGUGAAAUAAGGCAGUCAGAGAAAGACAAAUACCUCAUGAUUUUACUUAUAUGUGGAAUCUAAAGAACAAAAUAAACAAACAAACAAUAAAAACAGUCUCAUAGCUACAGAGAACAGACUGACAGCUGGCACAGGGAAGGGGGGUUGUGGGGCUGGGUG